rnacentral:rRNA from 1 species
UACGUAGGUGGCAAGCGUUGUCCGGAAUUACUGGGUGUAAAGGGCGUGCAGCCGGAUCGGCAAGUCAGGCGUGAAAUGCAUGGGCUCAACCCAUGAGCUGCGUUUGAAACUGUAGGUCUUGAGUACCGGAGGGGCAAUCGGAAUUCCUAGUGUAGCGGUGAAAUGCGUAGAUAUUAGGAGGAACACCAGUGGCGAAGGCGGAUUGCUGGACGGCAACUGACGGUGAGGCGCGAAAGUGUGGGGAG